rnacentral:rRNA from 1 species
AACGAACGCUGGCGGCAUGCCUAACACAUGCAAGUCGAACGAGACCUUCGGGUCUAGUGGCGCACGGGUGCGUAACGCGUGGGAACCUGCCCUUAGGUUCGGAAUAACUCCCCGAAAGGGGUGCUAAUACCGGAUAAUGUCUUCGGACCAAAGAUUUAUCGCCUUUGGAUGGGCCCGUGUUGGAUUAGCUAGUUGGUAGGGUAAAAGCCUACCAAGGCGACGAUCCAUAGCUGGUCUGAGAGGAUGAUCAGCCACACUGGGACUGAGACACGGCCCAGACUCCUACGGGAGGCAGCAGUGGGGAAUAUUGGACAAUGGGCGAAAGUCUGACACAGCAAUGCCGCGUGAGUGAUGAAGGCCUUAGGGUUGUAAAGCUCUUUUACCCGGGAUGAUAAUGACAGUACCGGGAGAAUAAGCGCCGGCUAACUCCGUG